rnacentral:misc_RNA from 1 species
GAUGAAGAACGUAGCGAAAUGCGAUACUUGGUGUGAAUUGCAGAAUCCCGUGAACCAUCGAGUCUUUGAACACAAGUUGCGCCCGAAGCCAUUAGGCCGAGGGCACGCCUGCCUGGGCGUCACACGUCGUUGCCCCCCCAUCUACUCCUUCGGGAUUGCGGGGGGCGGAUGAUGGCCUCCCGUGCGCCUCGCCGCGCGGUUGGCAUAAAUGCCAAGUCCUCGGCGACGCACGCCACGACAAUCGGUGGUUGCGAAACCUCGGUUGCCCGUCGUGUGCGGUCGUCGCGCAUCGAGGGCUCGAAAAAAUUGCCGGGUUCCGGCUCGGCUUUCAACGCGACCCCAGGUCAGGCGGGGUUACCCGCUGAAUUUAAGCAUAUCAAUAAGCGGAGGA